rnacentral:rRNA from 1 species
UACGUAGGGGGCAAGCGUUGUCCGGAUUUAUUGGGCGUAAAGAGCGUGUAGGCGGCUUUGCAAGUCCGUUGUGAAAACUCGAGCUCAACCUCGAGACGCCGGUGGAAACUGCAAGCUAGAGUCCGGAAGAGGAGAGUGGAAUUCCUGGUGUAGCGGUGAAAUGCGCAGAUAUCAGGAGAACACCGGUGGCGAAGGCGGUCUCUGGCGGU